CUGGUAGUCCACGCCGUAAACGAUGUCUACUUGGAGGUUGUGGCCUUGAGCCGUGGCUUUCGGAGCUAACGCGUUAAGUAGACCGCCUGGGGAGUACGGUCGCAAGAUUAAAACUCAAAUGAAUUGACGGGGGCCCGCACAAGCGGUGGAGCAUGUGGUUUAAUUCGAUGCAACGCGAAGAACCUUACCUACUCUUGACAUCCAGAGAACUUUCCAGAGAUGGAUUGGUGCCUUCGGGAACUCUGAGACAGGUGCUGCAUGGCUGUCGUCAGCUCGUGUUGUGAAAUGUUGGGUUAAGUCCCGCAACGAGCGCAACCCUUAUCCUUGUUUGCCAGCGAGUAAUGUCGGGAACUCCAGGGAGACUGCCGGUGAUAAACCGGAGGAAGGUGGGGACGACGUCAAGUCAUCAUGGCCCUUACGAGUAGGGCUACACACGUGCUACAAUGGCGCAUACAGAGGGCAGCAAGCUAGCGAUAGUGAGCGAAUCCCAAAAAGUGCGUCGUAGUCCGGAUUGGAGUCUGCAACUCGACUCCAUGAAGUCGGAAUCGCUAGUAAUCGUGGAUCAGAAUGCCACGGUGAAUACGUUCCCGGGCCUUGUACACACCGCCCGUCACACCAUGGGAGUGGGCUGCAAAAGAAGUAGGUAG
rnacentral:rRNA from 1 species